CAAUAUUUACACAUUAAUUCUUCAAUAUAUUUUACAAAUUAAUUAAGAUGGCCUCAUUUAAGCAAACUUUUCUCUUUAUUGCUCUCUUUGUUGCAAUUUUAGUUAAUCUCUCUUGGGCUCCAAAUAAGAUGCAAGUGAUGGCAUUUCGAGAUUUGCCUAUUGAAUUUGCUGCAAUGAAAGGAAAAUUACUUCGACUUGGUGAUAUUUCUAAUUGCGGGAGUCCUUGCAAGAGUCGUAGCGAUUGCAAAGAAGGUGUUAUUUGUUCAAAUUGUGUUUCACUUGGGGCUCUAUUUUCUCAAUGCAUGUAAUAUAAGCGCACUAUUACUGGUGAAAUAUCCUUGAGCGUGCAAUGGAUGAACUAUUAAUUGCUUAAUAUAUGUCUUUAUAUUAAUUCAAGCAUUUUAAAUAAUGUUGUAUUUUUAAAGUUUGUGUAAGAAAAUAAAUAUGUAACCUUAUUAGUUUUCCAUAUAUUGGGAAACUACCUACUCGAAUAGGUUGGGACUUAAAUACAUGUAUAUGUUGGUCGUUUGUCUUUAUUUUAUGUGCAAUUCAUUAUUUAUUGAGGUAAUAAUAAAAAUUAUAGCAUACUUUAGUUA